rnacentral:rRNA from 1 species
UACGGGGGGGGCAAGCGUUGUUCGGAAUUACUGGGCGUAAAGGGCUCGCAGGCGGCCGACUAAGUCAGACGUGAAAUCCCUUGGCUUAACCAAGGAAUGGCGUCUGAUACUGGACGGCUUGAAUUCGGGAGAGGGAUGUGGAAUUCCAGGUGUAGCGGUGAAAUGCGUAGAUAUCUGGAGGAACACCGGUGGCGAAGGCGGCAUCCUGGACCGAUAUUGACGCUGAGGCGCGAAAGCUCGGGGAGCGAACGGG